AUUAUUAUAAUUGAUAUAAAUUUCGGAUAAAGUAUAUUAAAUCGAACGUGUGAAUUUAUCAUUUCAAUGCUUGUGCACUGUGAUGAUGAUCAUAAUUGUACUCAUACGUAUGCUAUACUAUCAUCACGUUGCGUUUCAAGGUUGACUAAUAAACGCAGCAGGCGUUAAAAUCGCAUUACGUGUAAUUUAGAAUUAGAAUCUGCAGUAUUUCUUUUAUUUUAUAAGUUUUUAAUUAUUUUCGAAUUAGAUGAAACGCCAGUAUUGUGUUUUCAAUAUUCGUUUAAUCGUAACAUUUAUCAAUGAGAGCAGAAUAAAAUUGUUCACCGGAAGGACGAUGAUUUAAUGAUGAAACGGAGGAAGAGCGAUCGGAAUAAGCACCGUUGUACUUGCUUACUCACUGAUUACUGACUAACAUCCGUUAUCACUGGAGUUCUUGGUACUGAGGAUAUCUGACUGCAAUACAGAUGGCACCAGGAAACAGACAUUUCGAAAUUUGAAAUUCAUUUCUGAAUGUUAUACAUAAAAUUAGAGAGCUCUUAAAUAGAUGAAGGUAGAACAGUGUAAAAGAAAUCAGGAUUUUUCGUUUAGGAUGCGAAUUGUAAGUAAGAUCGUGAGCCAAUCGAGUCCAAGUACUCCCGUGUAAUCGCUUCAGCCUCCAAACCAAUUGCGCUGGAGAUUUCAAACUGAGAUAAAAUUACCUUACACAGUCUUGUAUUCGCAAGUACGCCCCAUUACAUUAAAAAUUUUCACAUGA